GUUUCACGAAGCAGGUUUAUUGAAAACUCUGAGUUUCUUAACCCUGAAAUGAGGGAAACUCAGAGUUUUCCGUUUCACAAAGCGAGGUAACUUAACCCUGAGACAGAGGGGUAACUCUAGCCUGUUUCACAAAGAGGGGUAACUUCAACUCUCGGUCAGUUACCGCAGUAACAGACUCUAUGACUCUAACCUGGUCACCAGCAGGUUUAUCUGAGAAAACCUCCAGUUUCUCUCUGUCUCCGCCCUCUUUCAGCCACACGCUGUUUCAUUUCCUCAUUCAUUCAGUCAGUAAGCGAGCGAGUUUUGGCGUAGAACAGCUUUUAUUAACGAUCCAGUGGAUAAAGGAGCAGCAUUACUGCACAGAUCAUUAAAUAUUCGUCGGUAGAUUGUUAUCAGACCGAGCAUAAAUGUUCUCGCAUUUCCGGACAAUUAUCGGUUUGAGCGGUACCGUUUCGUAAUCGUUUCAAGUCCGUAAUCUACAUAAACAACCUAAUCCGUCCUUACAUUUACAUUACCAACCAGUCAUGCUCUCACAUCCAGCAGAUAUUGUGUGUUGCGCUGCGGUUCUUUGCAAAUGAAAGUUUUUAUAUGAUGUCAGAGAUGCAGAGUAAGACAACUGUAUGGAGGACAGUCAGAAAAGUUUUCCUGGCUCUGAAACGACUUUAACUCAUCAUUGUGGUUUUCCUGGACAUAAACCUGUCAGAACAUCAAGGAGGAUCCACAGGAUUACAGGAUUUCCCAGUGUGAUUGGCUGCAUAGAUGCACACACAUCCCCAUCACAGCUCCCUCACAUCAUGAACAGGAAGUCCAUUCACAGCAUCAAUGUGCAGGUAGGCUACAGGUAGACUGACUACUGUUUCUAAAUGUUAAAGACUGCAUCAUAGUUCAACAUCUGUCAUUCUCUGCACUGUCCAGAUCAUAUGUGAUGCUGCAUACAUCAUUUCUAAUGUGGAGGCCACGUGGUCUGGGUCUGUUCAUGACUCCAGGAUUUAUGGAGAGUCUAACCUGAGCAACAGACUGCAGCGUGGAGAGUUUGAUGGCCUUCUGCUGGGUGACAGGGGUUACCAUGACAACCCAGGCUGAUGACCUCAUACCCUGACCCUGAACCAGGCCCCCAACAGAACUUCAACCGGACUCACUGCAGGACCAGAGCCCGGGUGGAGAUGACCAUAGGCCUGCUGAAAGCCCGUUUCCAGAGCCUACGUCUCCUCAGGGUGACCCCUGAGAGGGCCUGUGAUAUUACUGUGGCAUGUGUUGUUCUUCAUAAUAUUACCACUAUUAGAGGAGAGCAACACCCUGCCCUACAAACUGAAGACCCAGAUGAUGAGCCCAUCCACCUGCAGCUAUCCAGGACAGCAGAGCAGUCAGAGACACCGUAUGCAAGAAUCACUUUAGAGUUUAAGUCACCAUCAUCACCGCCA